rnacentral:lncRNA from 1 species
AGUUUCAUAGAUACUUAUAGCAAUCCAAUCUUGGAAAAGUUAGUUAAAUUUGUGAGAAGGCAAGGAGAGAAAGUAAAGACUUUUCAUUUCUGCCUUUCCAGUAAACAAUACUGCUCUCCAUUUGAUAUUCAAGUUCUAAGUCCCCUCUCAUUCACUCUGUCUAUUGGUCGGUCUAUCUGUCUGUCUGUCUGUCUCUCUCUCUCUCUAGCUGAGAGACUGCAUGUCUAUUGAAUAUAUAUAGAACUUUAAAGGAUAUAUAAAUAAGAUAAUGAUGGAAAUAAGAAUUUAAAAGUAAUACAUCAUCCCUUUUUUUCAUUUUAAGGUACAGUAUUCAACUGUGUUUUUUCCACCCAAAGGGAACAUAUAGGCUGAUGGUAUUGAAAAGUUCAGGCACUGGCUGCAUCAACUUAAGGCUCAGCUGUGCCCUGGUGCUCUAAUAAUGUUGUCAGUACCUGGACUCUCCUUUUAUUUCUCAUUCGUAGAUCAACUCUGUUCUAUUUGGACUUUCUUCCCAAGAAGGCUGUUGUCACUUAGUGUUCCUUGGCCAUCUCUACCCGCUACCUGCUCAUUAAAAGUGAGGUUAUUAGGAGAAUUACAUUAGCUGAUACCAGCAGUGUCUAGAAGAAGGGUAACAUAUGGAUAAUAUUUCAUAAGUGUUAGUUUUUCUGUCUUUGCUCACUGUUCAAGCAUGAGUCCAGGAAGAGAAUUUCAUUACCCUGCUCAAGCCUUAAUUAGUCAGUGUGAUUAGUAACUCAAAUAUUGUAGAUGUCAAGCCUAUGUCAUUAGUCCAACCUUGGAACAGGAAGGGAUGUGUUUGUGGUCAGCUAUAUCUGACAUUCUUGACUGGAUUGUUGUGGAAGGGGGUUCUCUGAAGGGAAAACAGACGCCAAGAAGGCAAAACAAACAAACCAACAAAAUGCCUGAUUACUUGAUAUUCCCCAAACAUUAGCAUGUUCAUUUGGAGUUGUGCAUAUGCACAUAUAAAAUAUACUGAUGAAUUCCCAUUUUCACUUGAAAGAUGAUGUCUACUGUUUUCUAUGUCAUUCAAAAUUUCCAGUUACAAUGGAGAGAAAUAUUCAGAGUGAACAUUACUUGAUUCUUUAAGUGUUGGAGGAGUAAAAGUUUUCUUUGUGAAAUAAAAAUAAGUAUAUUUAUGUCUUUGGUGGUUAAUUAUUUAAUCAAGUUAUAACUUUUAUUUGCAUAGAAUGAAUUUUUAUUGUUUCCUCAAAAUACUAAUCUUUUAGCAGCAAAAUUUAUUAAGCAUUUUUUUUACUGCCAACACUCUUUCCUGCCUCCUCUGUGUUUUAACUUAGGUUACAAUUUGCAUAAGCCAUUGGUUAUUGAAAAACAUAUUUUCAGGUUUUCAAUAUGAUCUCAAAGUUUAUUUUUUAUAAAUAAGUCAUAUUAAUGUGCUUAUUAUUAUUUAAGUGCUUUCUUAUCAAGGAGAAGAGUAGGUUAUUUGACGAGGUAUUUUUAAGAUUUAGAUUUAUAAUUUCAUCAGGAAAUUGGAUAUUGUUUGGUUCAAAUCUAAUUAAAUUAAAUUUGGGGCCUGUGCAUGUUUUUGAAGACAAUCUACUAUGUUAUUAACUUACCAGCAAUUAUACUGAAAAUUAAUACUUCAAACAUCAUACUAAUUGCAUUUUUCUAAAAUCUUAAGCAUAUAUACAUGCAUUUAAAUUACUAUACUUAUCUAUAGUAAUUAUGUUUAUAAUCAUUUUAUUCUUAUUUUCUCAGAUCUUAAAAAUUUCUGGAAAAUAUUUAAAAUAAUGUGGGCUUUUCAUAACGCAGUCAAUAUAAUAGUAUUUUCGCUCUGAAAAUGUUCAUGUUAAAUUAAAAUUUAAUUUAUUCUGUAACAUAAACCCCCAAUUUCUUAUAAUAGCAGCCAAUAUGAGAGGUGAUUUCCUUUGAUUCUAAGUGAAUUCUUGAUUUCAGGUGGAGUUUUGCACAAGUUAUUUGUGAUUUCUGUUUCCGGUUUGACAGCUGUUUUCAUCAUUUCCAUAUGAACUGUUAUUUAUACCUUAAUGUUAAGCUUCUAGGAAUUCUUUACUAUCUCACAACCAUAUUCUAAUACUUUUAAUCUUUCCUCCAGCCCCCUCAGGAUCACUCUCUUUCUAUUUAAAUUACAAUAAUCUUUUUACAAUUUUUAUUACCCCCGAAAUCACUCUAUAUAUCAAUAUUCUGAUAUUCUUAUUACUCAGAAAGACAUUCCUCUAUUGGUCAAGACUUGAGGUUUACGGGGGUAAAUAAUGUAUAACUUCACAUUCUCAAGCUGGUCUUCUUUACCAGAAGGUCCAGUUAACUUUACCUUUCUAAGCUACUGAAGAAUAGCAGUAAUAAAUUUUCAUUUAUGAAAUGGAUCCGUCUUGAACCAUGACCCUUCUGAGAGAUUCCAUCUCUCCUAUCUAUGCUCUGUGAAGUAUGCUGCGUGCCAAAGGAGAACUUUCAAAAUAUUUCUGUCAUGUGAAAGCUGCAAUACAGUUCUCACAGAAAGAACUCUCCUGGUAUCAGAUUUAUACAACAUAGCCAGAACGGCAUUGUGUACGCAACCUAAACCUGAUGUGUGUGUGGAUUCAGAAUCAAGCCCUUAGAAUUUUGGGUUUAUAUUUGGGAUCCUAAAGAGUUCACAAAGAUGGCCAUAGUUAUGAACAACAGCAAGGACACCAGCAACAACAACAAAUCUUUACAUGGCAUCUUCGGAAUCUAAAAUUUUGUAGCGUAUUUUUAUCUGUUCAUAGAAUACCUAUGGUAAAGAUACAGAAAGUAUAAAUAUCUUCAGGCUCAGGGUUGGGGAUAUAAAUGUAAGUCAAGAAGCCAAGCCCCAAAACCAUUUCUGUGCCAGCCAAGCAAGUACCAUAACUUCAUGAUUUAACUUUGAUCAAGUGGGCAUUUUUUUCCCUCCAGUUCCAAUAUUGCUUAACCAGGGAUUGAAAAAGAGUUAAAUGGAAAUCCAAAAUCUUCCCUGAGUUGAUUUAGACUUUUCCUCUUUAUGAAACUGCAACCAGAAAAUAGUGUAGGAUUUCGUGAAAAGUGAAAGGAGAUGUAUCAGGGAUUGCAGGGUCCUCUAAAGCUGCUUUUAAAGAAGUCUGUAGGGUAAUUGGAAAACUAGAUCCUCCAGCCUAGUGUCAGGUAUAUGUUAAAUCCCAGUUUUAAUUUACAGCCCGUAAUAUAGUUUCUUUGGCCAUGAUUCAUAAAUCCCCAUCUUAGCCCACGACUGCUGCAUGAUAAUGGUGCUUUCUCCAGAGCAGUUUCUAUCUCUACUAAGCCUGCCUCUCAGGCCACUGAAGCUUCCGCUUAGAGAACCCCACCCAAUGCCGGUCUUAACAAAUACACAGCCUUAUUGAAAAUGUGCGGGUGCCUUGCAUUGUUAUGCAGGUCCAUGGUCAUUAAAAUUUUAUCAUAUAAACCCUGCUGUCUGCACAGAAGAGGAAUAUAAAAUGUUGGCAAGGGAUGAUCACAUAUUUUAUCAGAAUCUCCUGAAAGAGAAAACCAACAUGUUUAGAGCAGGAAGGAACCAAAAUAACAUCACCUUUAAUUUAAAUAGUACAAAAUGUCAAAAACCCUGAAAUUGACAUAUAUCUGCUGUGGUUCAUUUUCACAUUUCCUUGAGAUGUCUCCGUUUCCUGAAGUGCAUGACAGUUUGAUCCAGUUGCAAAGAUAUGAUUUUCAUAUGUUUUUCGUGGAAAGCUGACGUUAUUCAAAAGAUGCCCCAGACCUAAAGACAGCAUGCUAUUGAUUAGAGUGUUAAUUUAACAAAAGGCUGAGAGAUUAGUGGAAUUAGGGUUUUAGAUAGGGGUAGAGAUUUGAAUGACUGGAAACUUGAUUUGGGGAAUAUAUUUUAACUUAAUGAAUACGGAUAAAAUAUGAAAGAGUGGGACAAAACCAAUCUCACAGUACCUAUACCAAUUUUUGUGAAAGGAACAUGCAUUCCCCCACCAAAAUAGUCUUCUUUACAGUUGUGUCUGAAUACAUUUUGUUUAUUGUGAGAUGUGGCAUUUUGUUUUUCCUUUUUCGAUUUAGAACAGACUGUGACUCUCCUAAAAUGCUCCUGUGCUGUUCCAAUUUCCGUCAAUGGCAUGAGUAAUCACUUUGAAAAGAGAAAAUCUAUCAGAGCUUUGAAAAUGUAUAGGAGUUGUUCUUUCUUAUCAUAUUUUAACAUUUUAUUGUUUGGAACAGUUUUAAUGGUUUAUAACUAUAAGUUUUCAAAGUUAAAAUAAGAGUAUAGUCAGAUAACUUUUAAGGAGUUGAGAAAAUCAACCAAGAAAAACGUUGCAUGGCAUAAUGACAUAUAUAUAUACAUUCAUGUAUAUAUAAAUAAUAUUUUUUCAUAUUAUUUUCCAUUACGUUUUAUCCCAAGGGAUUGGAUAGAGUUCCUUGUGCUAUACAGUAGGAUGUCAUUCCUUAGCCAUUCUAAAUGUAAUAGUUUGCAUCUACCAGCCCCAAACUCCAAGUCCAUCCCACUCCCUUCCCCCUCUACCUCAGCAACCACAAAUCUGUUCUCUAGGUCUAUGAGUCUAUUUCUGUUCUGUGGAUAGGUUCAUUUGUGCCAUAUUUUGGAUUCCAGAAAUUCACACAACACUGUAAAUAAACUAUACUCUAAAAAAAGAGAAAGAACAAAUGUUGGAUUAUGUGCUAAACUUCUAAAUAUUUGUAUUAUUUUUUGCAUAGAUAAAACAAGGGUUCUUAUCCUUGGUAAUCUGGCUCUGCAAAGUGCUGUAGAAGUAGUAGUGAUGGGUUUUCCUUGAUAUAUUUUUCUCCCUCUUCAGUCUUUUGAGAUUGUUGUGGAGACAGACUUGGUGGGGAGAUUUCUUGAGUCCAAGAAAAGUUAAUUAAUCUAUGUUCAAAUUUACCUUAGAUGUCUUAUCAUAAUUACCAUCUAUUUUUCUCUAAUAAGUCAAACAUUAAUACAUAAUUUUUUUUUCUUUAGAAUGACUUUUAUUUUUUCCAUCAUAGCUGUUUUACAGUGUUCUAUCAAUAUUCUACUCUACAGCAGGGUGACCCAGUCACACAUACAUACAUUCUUUUUCUCAUAUUAUCCUCCAUCAUGCUCCAUCAUAAGUGACUAGAUAUAGUUUCUAGUGCUAUAUAGGAGGAUCUCAUUACUUAUCCAUUCCAAAGGCAAAAGUUUGCAUCUAUUAACCCCAAAUUCCUAGUCCAUCCCACUCCCUCCCCUUGGCAACCACAAGUGUUAUUUGUGGACUUACUAAUGAUGGCCAUACUUACUGGGGUGAGGUGAUAACUCAUAGUAGCCUUGAUUUGCAUUUCUCUAAUAAUCAGUGAUGUUGAGCAUUUUUUUCAUGUGAUUGUUGGCUAUCUUCUUUGGAGAAAUGUCUAUUCAGGUCAUCCACCCAUUUUUCCAUUGGGUUGAUGGCUUUUUUGCUGUUAAGUUGUAGAAGUUGUUUGUAUAUUCUAGAGAUUAAUCCCUUGUCGGUUGCAUCAUUUGAAACUAUUUUCUCCCAUUCUGUAAGUCUUCAUAUAUAUAUGAAGCUUGUCUAAAAGCUUGUUAGUUUCAUUAGGUCCAAUUGGUUUAUGGUUGCUUUUAUUUCUGAUGCCUGGGGAGACUGACCUAAGAAAACAUUUGUAAGGUUGAUGUCAGAGAAUGUUUUGCCUAUAUUCUCUUCCAGGAGUUUGAUGGUGUCUUGUCUUGCAUUUCAGUCUUUAAGCCAUUUUGAGUUUAUUUUUGUGCAUGGUGUGAGAGUGUAUUCCAGUUUCAUUGAUUUACAUGUGGCUGUCCAGUUUUCCCAGCAUCACUUGCUGAAAGGACUGUCUUUUUUCCCAUUUUAUAGUCUUGUCUCUUUGUUGAAGAUUAAUUGACUGUAGGUGUCUGGGUUUAUUUCUGGGUUCUCUAUUCUAUUCCAUUGGUCUGCAUGUCUGUUUUUGGUACCAGUACCACACUCUCUUGAUGACUGUGGCUUUGUAAGAUUGCCUGAAGUCUUGGAGAAUUAUGCCUCAUGCUUGUUUUUUGUUCCUCAGGAUUGCUUUAAAAAUUCUGGGUCUUUUGUGGUUCCAUAUAAAUUUUUGGAUUGUUUGUUCUAGUUCUGUGAAAAAUGUCAUUGGUAAUUUGAUAGGGAUUGCCUUGAAUCUGUAGAUUGUUUUGGGUAGUAUGGCCAUUUUUAUCAUGUUAAUUUUUCCAAUCCAGGAGCAUGGAGUAUCUUUCCAUUUCUUUGAAUCCUCUUUAAUUUCCUUGAUUAAUGUUUUAUGAUUCUCAGCAUAUAAGUCUUUCACCUCCUUGGUCAGGUUUAUUCCCAGAUAUUUAAUUUUUUGUGGUGCAAUUUUUAAAAGGUUUUUUUUUUUUCUUGCUUUUUAGGGCCACACUCAGUGCAUAUGGAAAUUCCCAGCUUGGGAACCUCCAUAUGAUGCAGGCAUGGCCCUUAAAAAAAUAUAUCACUAUCCAUUUUACUUACCAAAAGUAAAACAAAACAUCGUCUAUUUGAAAUUUUUAAGUUUUAACAGUGAUUUUCUUAUAAAAUAAUUUGAAUUGAGUCUGAAUUUCUUUCUAAUUUUUACUGUUUUCAGUGAAUAGAUAUUUCAUUUAUUUGUUUUAUCAUCACUGAAUUGAAAUGUACAUUAAGUGUUCAAAAGAUAUUGAAUGUCUUGCUUCAUAGACUGUCUGGGAAUGAUUUCCAGCCUAAGAAGGCUCAAUCAAAUAUUCCUUAAGCAAUAAAGACAUUUAAAAAUCUCACAUCACAGGAAAUGGGGAGGUAAGCAACCCUGGGGAUCAGUGACUCAGUGAUGUGAGUGUACCAUUUGUGAAGGGUAGAAUUUUCAAAAUUCUCUUGUUCGCCCUGACAAGAUGCUGAUCACAGCACUGAGUAUCAUGGCCUCACACCCUUGUUCCACACAGAAAGGCAUUCUUUAAAUCAACAUACAGCAUAUACAACCUAAACAUCUAUUUUCUCACAGAUUGGAUAACAAUAUUUUUUUUCUUUUCAGUCUUCUGUAUCUCAUCUAUGAUAGAUGAACUCAGGCCCUCUCUAGCUUUGACAAAAAGCUUCUUGACCAAUGGGUUAGUUCAUUUUAUCCUCCCUUUAUUAUUAUCUUUUCCAUGCUUAUCUAGUACUGUCGCUUAUACAAACACCAACUUCUCAUUGCAGGCAUGCAGAGCUCUAACUAGAAAGAAUAUGUCAUUAUCUGCUUCAAAAUCCAGCAAAAAGAUCAAUGUCCUAUUGAUAACAGAGGAUCACAGCACAAAGAAAGAGAAAUACUAGUUCUCAUUGCUAUGAGGUGACUAUCAUAGCCUCUUUCUUUGUAUAUUUAUGCAGAAGGAAAGGGGAAAAAAAAAAAAA